rnacentral:lncRNA from 1 species
AUUCCAAUUCACUUUUCACUUUCCAUAUUUUCACUUUUGUCCUUUCAACCACACCACUCCUUAGGCUUCCACCACUCUCUUUCUUCAAUCUUUCUUUCAUUUCCAUCUCUUCCCUUCUCCUCUAAACAAUAUAAGCUCAUAGACCUCAUCAAAACAAGAAUGGUUCCAAACAACCUUUGAGAGUUAAGAGCAACAAAGAGAAUGAUGAAACUCAUGUAAUUUUUCCCCACAUGGAUCUAUUUCAAAAUGUUAUAUUGAACUCCGGUACCUUUACCUAUUUGUUGUUUUUUAGUACAAUCUUUACUAACAAGGUAAUAUUUUUUUGUCAUUUCUAUUAAGGGAUCAGAUUGCUCCCCAUUGGAACCUGUGAUGAAGACUGCCCACGGCCAGAGCCCCCUCUUAUUACCUGGGUCUGUGAUGGACAUGCGGGUUGCCCCCCAUCCAUUCUUCAUUAUCUUCCAUCUUUUUUUGCUUUUCAUUUUUACAUUUUACUAUUUUCAACCUAAAUCUCAUUUCUUUUGCUUUUUAUAUUUAAUUUCGUUUGUUGCAUGUUUAGAUCUACAACAAAAGAGUCAUGAGUUAGUCCAUUUUUAAUUUGUUUUAUUAUGUGGGUAAUUUGUUUGUGAAGAUGUGUAACAUGCCUUUAUUUUCUUUCAUUUCAAGCCUCUGUCUACUAUUUAGUUGUUGCUUAAAUAUUAUUUUGCAAUUUUGAUUCAUUUACUAUGUGUACUACUGUAUACAUUGAUAUAUUUGAAAGUUAUUUUUUGUUAUAUAAACAUAAUUUAUAAGAGAAGGGAAAAAGCUAGAAGAUUU